UUCCAUAAUUUUUAAAGGAACGGAAAUGACUGAUCGGGGUGUUUUAGUACUUCGUCCCAUUAAAGCUGCAGAACACUUAAAAACUAUCUCUUGAAUUAAAAGAACACUCGUAAACACUAGCUCCAUUUCUUCGCGUAUCUCUAGGAUAUCUUGAACUCGUAUCCUCAAACAUCGUGGCUUCCUGUCUCUAUUAUUGAUUAAAUUCCAGUGGAAGUUUUUAGGGUUGUUUUCAAAGCAAAGUGACAGUUUAGCAUAAAAUCUUCACCAGUGAUGAGAAUACCAUCAUGAAACCCAAGUGAUCAUCUGUAUCAAAAGUAAAAAACAAUAUCGGACCAGUGAGUCCUCAUCGCUUCAGAAAGGUCUAGUUCGAGCCACGAAGCAGCGCCACCACCAACACCAGAUCACCACCACUACCACGACCUUACACGUGCAAAUAAAGGAGGACAGACGCUCAGCUUGCCGUCGCCCACAAUUACGUAAACCGGAGGCGCUUGAAUGUUGGGCGCGUAAAGAAAGAGACCUAUCGAUUCUGUGUUUGUUCAUACCUGCAGGAGAAGGACGAAGGCAGAAACACAGAGCCACUGCCCCAUAUGAAAAUGGGAAACGCCAACAGAAGAAGAAGACAGGGCCACUGGGACAUCCGAGCUUCCACAGUUUACCUUCUCCAAGUCUCCCCAAACGCUACACCCAGCAGCAGCAGCAGCAGCAGCAGCAGCAGCGUGGCGACGGCAACGGGACAACGCCUUAGCGCAGUCGGCCAGCCUUGAACCAGCCUUUUGAGUCUCACACCCCGGCGAUUCACUCCAACUGCUUAGGAUAGACGUGAGGUGAGGGCGAGCGAGGGCGAGGCGAGGCAAGUCUGUCCACACAACACAAGGGUGACUUUGUAUUAUUUGCCAGAGAGAAAUGAGGGGGAGAAAUAGUGAUAAUGCACCUUUGAUUUGCUCCGUUCCCUAUUCUUAGUCUCCCUGGCGGCGGCCUUAGUAGUGUGGUCAUAGGGAACGUACAGACAUAAGACUGCCUUUGAUCCGCGCUGGUGGGGUUCCUAUGCAGAGCGAGGUGAGGAAAGUGCACAGCAGUGAUGAUGGUGGUGGUGGUGGUGAUGGUCUGAUUAUGCUCUCUCCACAUCCGGCGUGGUGCAUGUGUGUGUGUGUGUGUGUGUGUGUGUGUGUGUGGAGUGUCUGAUU